AUUGAACGCUGGCGGCAGGCCUAACACAUGCAAGUCGAACGAGUGGCGGACGUGUGAGUAAUGUCUGGGAAACUGCCUGAUGGAGGGGGAUAACUACUGGAAACGGUAGCUAAUACCGCAUACCAUCAGAUGUGCCCAGAUGGGAUUAGCUAGUUGGUUGGGUAACGGCUCACCAAGGCGACGAUCCCUAGCUGGUCUGAGAGGAUGACCAGCCACACUGGAACUGAGACACGGUCCAGAAGCCUACGGGAGGCAGCAGUGGGGAAUAUUUAAAAAUGGGAGCAAGCCGGAUGCAGCCAGGACGCGUGUAUGAAGAAGGCCUUCGGGUUGUAAAGUACUUUCAGUGGGGAGGCGUUACCCGCAGAAGAAGCACCGGCUAACUCCGUGCCAGCAGCCGCGGUAAUUC
rnacentral:rRNA from 1 species